UAGCGGCGGACGGGUGAGUAACACGUGGGUAACCUGCCUCAAAGUGGGGGAUAGCCUUCCGAAAGGAAGAUUAAUACCGCAUAAUAUCAUGGCGCUGCAUGGCGCAGUGAUUAAAGGAGCAAUCCACUUUGAGAUGGACCCGCGGCGCAUUAGCUAGUUGGUGAGGUAACGGCCCACCAAGGCGACGAUGCGUAGCCGACCUGAGAGGGUGAUCGGCCACAUUGGAACUGAGACACGGUCCAGACUCCUACGGGAGGCAGCAGUGGGGAAUAUUGCACAAUGGGGGAAACCCUGAUGCAGCAACGCCGCGUGAGUGAUGAAGGCCUUCGGGUCGUAAAGCUCUUUGAUCAGGGACGAUAAUGACGGUACCUGAAAAACAAGCCACGGCUAAUACG
rnacentral:rRNA from 1 species